rnacentral:rRNA from 1 species
CCAAUAGCGUAUAUUAAAGUUGUUGCAGUUAAAAAGCUCGUAGUUGAAUUUCGGGGUUCUACCGUUGGUCGGGCUAUUGUCUGUACUGGCGUGUAGAAUUUCUACCUUCUGGGGGACUAUCAUGUUAUUAAUUUAGCGUGGUAGGAAACCAGGACCUUUACCUUGAAAAAAUUAGCGUGUUCAAAGCAGGCUUAUGUCUGAAUACAUUAGCAUGGAAUAAUAAAAUAGGACGGUGGUCCUGUUUUGUUGGUUUCUGAAUCACCGUAAUGAUUAAUAGGGAUAGUUGGGGGCAUUAGUAUUCAAUUGUCAGAGGUGAAAUUCUUGGAUUUAUUGAAGACUAACUACUGCGAAAGCAUUUGCCAAGGAUGUUUUCAUUAAUCAAGAACGAAAGUUAGGGGAUCGAAGACGAUCAGAUACCGUCGUAGUCUUAACCAUAAACUAUGCCGACUAGGGAUCGGACGAUGUUAACUUUUCUUGACUCGUUCGGCGCCUUACG